UGAGGUUUGAAGGAGACGUUAAUCUAAUUGACGAACGUGUAAGACAGGUGGCUAUUUCUUCUAGUGAAAAGUUUAGAAAUGGAUUAACUGUGAAAACAGUGUUUUUCAGCAAUUUUGCAGGAGGAUACGGCUGAGAGGAGUUUAGUGAAUGGAUAAACACCCAUGAAAUGCCCUUUCAGCGCCUAGUUUGAGG